UGGGAGGCAGCUAGAAGGGCUGUGCAAAACAGCACCGUUCCGAUUUGACUCGCGUUUCAACGGAACAGCGUUUCGUUUCAAAUUUCAUUUUGAUUCGAAACUGCUGUUCCGUUUCAUUUUGUUGAAACAGUUUUCCUGUUUCGACA